UGUCAUUCCAGUGCUUGACACUGGAAUCCAGGAAACUUAACUUUACACCAGGUAAUAAGAACUGGAUCCCAGUGUCAAGCACUGGGAUGACACC
rfam:Wolbachia endosymbiont of Drosophila ananassae gdan_398, whole genome shotgun sequence.